rnacentral:rRNA from 1 species
UACGUAGGGUGCAAGCGUUGCCCGGAUUUAUUGGGCGUAAAGGGCGCGCAGGCGGCCGAGCACGUCCGUUGUGAAAUCGCCUGGCUCAACUGGGCGGGUCAGCGGAUACGGCUAGGCUGGAGCAAGCUAGGGGCAAUGGAAUUCCCGGUGUAGUGGUGGAAUGCGUAGAUAUCGGAGGAACACCAGUGGCGAAGGCGGUUGCCUGGAGCUUUGCUGACGCUGAGGCGCGAAAGCGUGGGAGCGAGUCCGG